AUCUUUUGGGAAAGUUUUAUUCAGCAACAGAAUCCAUUGUGUCGUCAAAGCAACAUAGAUGAAGUUCAUGGAUUGACUGGCGAUCACUGGUCAAUGAAUGUCAAAAAUGAGAAAUUACAAAGACAAACUGCACACUUAAUUGCCCAGAUAAGUGUUGAGGUAAUGUGUAAAAUACUAUUCAGAUGGAUGGGCAGAGUACAAUCAUUCAGACAUAAAAUAUGUACAAAGAGGUACACUCAGACAUUGUUUCUCGAUGCACGGAUCAAUGUUACGUGGCUAUAACUGCAACAAAGAAAGAGAGAAAUAGAACUGAAACAGAAAAACCAUGGGACAGCUGAAGUAGAGAGCACUGUGGUUUGUAAGUGCUUCAGUUUCUGAAUGUAAAUAUAAUAUAAAUUAUUCUGCUUUACAUCUUGAGAGGUGGAGGAUGGAGAUGUAAGCCAGGAAUGAUUCUGACAUACUUGGCACCUCUAAUCUGCAGCUUAUGAGGCUCUGCAGCAGCUUCAGCAGGUCCAUUUUCACAAUAAAGCAAAUGUGCUGUUGGUAUGAAUCUACAACAUAAAGUAAAGUAAACAGCAACAGACACAAACGGGAGCAUAAGGUCAUAUUGGCAACAAACCUAAAAAAAAAGCACUUGAAUGUAGCUGAAUCAUUCUCGAACUUCCUGACCAAUGAGAUGUGACGGAUGAUGACGAAGAAAAGAGGCUGACUGCACGUCUGUUCAGUCACAGAAGUUCACAUGUGAUCGCUGUCUUUCCAAAAAAUUCUCCUUGUCCAUGAAAUCGAACAUGUGAGCGAACAGUUGGUUUCAUACGACAACACAAACCUCUGCCAGGCGCCCCGCCGACAGAGAAGAUGACGGACGAGUCAAAGUGUUCAGGAAAAAAAGUGCAUCAUAUUUUGUCAAAUACUGAGAAAUAGCUGAACAUUAAAAACAACACCCUUAUAAUAAACAUCUGAAAUAUCUUUUUUUUCUCACUAGUGCAACAACAGACUGGAUCAAAAUAAUGAAAUUAUUAACCUGCAGGCAAUCAAAGCUCUUUAAACAUCGAAUAAAUUUUUCGUCACAGUAGCAGAACAGUUAAGAAGGCAACUUAAUGAUUGAUGCUUGAACACAAACAUGCCAACAUUAUACACAUCGCUCUUUUUUAUAGAAAUAAAUAGCUGAGUUUUCAACUUUAUCCUCUUCUUAAAUAAUUUCCAUCUCUAUAUGACUCUGAUGCACAUUUAAUAUAAAGUAUCUAAUACACAACUGCAAUUUCAACACUACUGUUAUACAUAAUAUAGUUCUCUAUGUUCAUCUUUCAUUCAACUUUGGAGAGAAAAUGCUUACAGAAUGAACACCUGUAAACUUCCACUGUUUCCACUCAGAAGGAUAACCUUAUAAUAUUAUAUAACAUCAAUGUUGAUCCUUUUUUCUUUUUUUUCUGAUAUUUUUUAACAAAUAUUAUGUACAGAGGAGCUGAUAGCGAAGGCAGGAUUGUCUAAAAAUUAAAAUCAACAAGUGCUUUGUGUUUUCGAUAAUUAGUCUGCAAAGUUUUACAUGUUUCCCCUUCAACGAACCCGCAUGGACAAUCAGUACCGGUGUGAGACAAUAGUAAUUGUAAGAGUUUGCAGUACUGGUAGAACAUGAAGAAAUGAGCGUCCACAGAUUGACAUCACCACAAUAUGCGUUUAAACAGGUCUUCCGAACAUGUUUGAGUGUUAAGCAGAGAGCAGAAUCAGAAGCUUUCGCUGUCUGUGAGGUUUUGAAGCCCGAACGACAAUUUCUACUCCUUGUCACCUUGCUCUCAUGCUCUUGAAUGUUAAAAAAAUGGCGUUGAGACAGGCCGUAUUGAUCUCUGACAAAUACGGGUGGCCAGGUGAAAGGAUAGACCUGUUAAGCGACCUGCUGAAAACCUUUGGCGAGGAAAGACAGGACGUGUGGAUCAUUUCCCAACCUGCUGGGAACGGUGUGCAACAUGAUAAAUGAGCAUCGACAAGUCUACUCCUGUGAUAUUAUAUUGCACUUUCAUGAUGUUCAGGGAACUCGCAACGGACUGAUUCUAGUUCAAACGAUGCAGCAAAUACACUAACCCAGACUUUUGGUCACUUGUCCAAACACAUAGCUCGAAAAACUCUGGAUUAUCUCCAUAUUUUUUUUUCUUAAAGACUUUCAUUGCCUUGUAAAAGCAUUACCCCAACAUUUUCAAACUAUGUGCCUCCUGUUUGUAAUGAAGGUUUAUGUGCUGUUAAUCUGAUUUAAGUUCAAAUAAACUCGGGACCAUUGAGAGAGUUAAUUUCUUAAACUUCACAAAACUCUUUCAGAGCCACAGGAAACACUAAAUGUGCAUUUUCACUGGCUUAGUAGCACAUCUUCAGGAAAUACAAACUGAUCUUCGUGUAAAAUUGUUGGACUCCCUCUUGGUUAUCUGCAGCACAGAGGAAGCGUCACC